rnacentral:lncRNA from 1 species
CACCGUUGCUUCCUACCUGACCCACUAAUUUCCAGUCGCGCGGGCGUGACAGCACCUGCGAAGCAAUAACUCCAAAAUUUUCGUGAGGUCUCUGUGUUCCCCCAAUCUCCAAUCUCCUCUGUCACUCACACCGCCCCGAAGCGUCUGCCUCAGAUCCGCUUCCGCUGCGCCCCCAAUUCCCACCCCUCUCUCAGUCACACACGGGCUCGCGAGAGAGACAGCAAGCCGGCUGGCCAGCGGGCGACUCAGGCAGGUAAAGGCAUGCCCACCUCUAGUGGGGACAUCUCGUCGCCCCGCGUGACCAACGAUCUCACCGUCUUCCCCUCCUACCACGAGGCAAGAACCCCUCCAAACCCUAGCCUCCUACCGCCUGGUUCCUUCUCCAAAUCUACGGCCCACCCCUCGACCGAUCAGGUAAAACGGAUCUAGGAAAAUCUAGCUGUAGCGCCACAAUUACCUCCCCUCUCCUCUCAAUUGGGUACCUGGAGACUCCGUGAACCUGAUACAUCGCAAUGCAUGGAGGAAGUUCGUGCUGGAAAUGAGUGGGGCACAGAGGCCAGUUCUAGGACAUGUGCUCCUAUGGAUGGUGUUCUGUGGGCACCUAGGUACUGCCGUGGGAGGCGACCGACUGCAUGUUGUUGCUAUAGUGAGACCGUGAGAGAGUGAGAAAAUGACAAAGAGAGAGAUGUUGUGAUAUUGGGAGGCGACUGGAUGUAUGGUUUCUAUUGAUUAGCUAUUCCUUUGUAUUAGAGAGAGAUAGAGAGGUGCUCAUUACUAUAAUUUGUGCUGCAGUUGUUGAUACUGAAUGUUUCUAUUUUCGCUAACCACAAAAGAUUGUAUGAUAGCUGGGCUAUGGUGGGUGGCGGCUUCGCAUAGUGGCAUUGCUUUUGGUGUACUGCAUUGACAGUAUAUGGAAAAUAUAGCAGUCUAGAAGAUUAUCAAGACAAGGAAGACAACAAAGGCAUAUAGUAAAGGUCUAAAUUGGUGGGAAAAUAUAUUUCUAAAAUUGUGAUUUGUGUUGCAAAAUAGCUUGACAAUGCAGAAUUCAUUCAUCUUAGUGCUUUUUUCAUACUGUGAAUAUGGUUUUGCAUACAUGUGGUCUGGUUCAUGGCGGUGACCUAGUUCGUGAGUGUAGAAAGCAACGACUUGGACGAGUUGUCUAAUCGACAGUUUCAUAUGUGAAUUUUGAUUCAUAUAAAAUUCUUUGAUUUGUCUCCGCCAUUGUCUGAAAAAUAAUGUUCUAACAUGUGUCAUUUGCAGGGCAAGAGCUGACAGAAAUAGGAAAAGAAAGUGAGGUCCCUGUGUACGAUGAUGGCCUCCCAAUGUUGUGGAAAAUAAUAUCUCACGUGAUCUCUCAUGGAACCAAAAAAGAAUAAUUGAAUAGGGCAAUAUAAGGGCCACUAGGGAAGUACGUGGGUCAUCGCGGCCAUCGAAUAAAAAUAAAAAGAUUGUGUACUUGCAAUAAUUUACAUUCAACACUUCAUCAUUAUAUAUACCAUGUGUUUAACAAAUAUUGAUGUUUUUUUCAGUCAAAGAAUGACAUAAGUGAAGCUAUAAAUGAAGGACGUAACUGAUAGGAGUUUUGUUCAUGUCAGUAAUUGAGUGGUAAAGUUUAUAGAAUGCUAAUUCUCAGAUGUUUAUGUCUCUUCCCUUUUACUUAUUUAGAACACCAUGUAUAUAGCAGUAUUAGCUCUGUACAAGCUACUAAAUGAUAUAGAAAGUUGGAGUCAAAAUUUAUAAAAUCUAAUGAUUGGAUCCAGAUUAGUACAAGAUAUCUAUUCAAGCUUAAGGUUAUUUUAUUUGAACUGACCAUGAGAGUGUUGAAGUUACUCUAAUGGAAAUGGCAAUGACAAGAUAGUAGCAACUUCUUGGAUAUGCCAAAUAUCUAAAACUUUAACUCUAAUUUACAGAAACAUAUUACUCAUCUUUACACUUAAAAUUUGAGUGUUUGUUUACCGAAUAUUAUAUUUUUUUGUUUUUUCAAAUUAUAAUAUGUUCCUAAAACGCAUCAGCGUCACUCUAAAAGAUGGUACAUGUAUCCUAGAAAAUGAAUGUCUAGUUAGUCUUGGGAAAAUAUUGUUAUACUUAAGAUACCAAUGUAUCACAUCUAAAUGGAUUAUAGAUGAACUCAGAGCGUGCACUAAAUGGUAGGCAUGAUUUUAUUGUAAGUUGUGUGCAGAUCGUCCAAGAUCUUAUAGUAGACAUCCAGUAAUAUAUGUAAUACCCGAUCUAGCUCCUAGAUGCCUAACUAGAGUGCAUCUGCUAUCGUGGAAAACAGAAUGCAUGUGCAAGUGCACUUUUUGCUACUACAUGUAUGACUGCUAAUACAUGUUAUUUACAAGAGCAUAUCUUUUUAUUUGCUGGUUGAGGAAUUUCAAAUGGAAAUAUCUAAAACUACAGUAAGAACAUAAUUCCUGAUGCCUUAGAACAUAUUUUGAUUGCUUUAUUAAUGAGUGCAUAAAUUUUUAUAGUAGGUCAUAUGAUAUGCUAGGUGCUAGCCGGACUUCAGUCGAUAUUCGUUCUAAUAUGGUUAUCUUUGUAACAUGUCUGGUGCACAUCUACUUUUUAGAUCUUUGGGACCAUGGCUGCUCACAAAUUCCUAUUUUCUAAGAUUGCUCAAAGAUAUGAGUUGUUUUGCAGGGACAAAUGAAAGAAAGUAGCGACUCCAACUUGAUCUAAGAUGUUCCGGUGAUCGGUUUUGUCCAUAACAUGGUUGACACAUUCUUUUCAUAUGGAAGUUGAUGUCAGCUUGGGGAUCAAAGACUUGGUCUCUUCCAUAAAUUCUUUUGCUGUAGUGGUCGAACAUUUGGUAUCAUAGGAACUUGACCAUCAUAUUUUGUAAGAGGCCACAACCUGAGUGUUGACUUCUGUAUUUUCUUAAUGGUUGUAGGUAACCUGAGUAUGUAUAGGUAUUGGGAAAAUAUUCUAUAUAUGUUGAUUGAAUGCAUUGAUCAAUAAUAUCUUGUGAUUGGGUACUUAACCUGAAAUGGAUGUAUUGAUCAGUGGUAUCUUGUGAUGGAUAAAAAGUGCAAAUGUUUGUAUACGUAUUGGGAAUUGAACAUGAAAUAAAUUAUCGGUGUAGAAAG